GACGUAGGGCGCGAGCGUUGUCCGGAUUUAUUGGGCGUAAAGAGCUCGUAGGCGGCUUGUCGCGUCGUCCGUGAAAACCUGCGGCUCAACUGCAGGCUGGCGGUCGAUACGGGCAGGCUGGAGUUCGGUAGGGGAGACUGGAAUUCCUGGUGUAGCGGUGAAAUGCGCAGAUAUCAGGAGGAACACCAGUGGCGAAGGCGGGUCUCUGGACAGUUCCUGACGCUGAGGCACGAAGGUCAGGGGAGCAAACGGG
rnacentral:rRNA from 1 species